rfam:Schistosoma mattheei strain Denwood, Zambia genome assembly, scaffold: SMTD_scaffold0002993
AUCAAGCUGACGAGUCCCAAAUAGGACGAAAAGCGCAUCCUGGAU